GUUAAUCAUAAAUAUUUUAAUGUCACCAUCAAGGCUGCCACGAAUUUGAUCCCGUUCAGCUGCAUGCUAAAAACUUUUUACAGCAUGAAGAUAUAGUGUUUUCAUUGUGGGCGUGGCAUGUCACUUAGAGUGCAGAUGAUCCAAGAUCUUACCACUAUAAAAACCCUCUGUACUACCCUUCCACAUCAAACUACCGUACCGAGCAAACUGAAUCCGAAAAUACCUCAGAGAAGAAAUGGAAACAAAACUGGCUUUGGGUGUUCUUUUCCUCUUGUCACUUCUUCUGAUCGAAGGAACCGAAGCACUGGCCUGCACAACCAAGGACUCUAGGAAGGCUUGUAAACCGAACAAGCGGGAACGAAGAGUCUGCUCCUUGGCUCGACAACUCGAUUGCAAACAGAUCCUGCUAGAUGAAGACGCACACCUGAGGAAAGAAUCCUACUAAUAUACAACGACGCUGAAAAUUAAUGUAACUUUAAUUUGUAACUUUAAGGAAUUUUAGCUCCAUGGAAAGUGUUUUCCUUUGUUAUUUAAUUAAUGAAGUAAAUAAUCGCUGAACGA